GAUGAACGCUGGCGGCGUGCCUAAUACAUGCAAGUCGAGCGAAUAGACGAUGAGCUUUCUCCUCUGCGGUUAGCGGCUGACGGGUGAGUAACACGUGGAUAACCUACCUAUAAUACUUGGAGAACUUCGUGAAACCAGAUCUAAUACCGGAUAAUAUAUUGAACCGCAGGGUGCAAGAGUUAUAGACGGUUUUCGUGUCACAUAUAGAUGGAUUCGGUCCGCAUUAGCUAGUUGGUAAGGUAACGGCUUACCAAGGCAACGAUGCGUAGCCGACCUGAGAGGGUGAUCGGCCACACUGGAACUGAGACACGGUCCAGACUCCUACGGGAGGCAGCAGUAGGGAAUCUUCCGCAAUGGGCGAAAGCUUGACGGAGCCACACCGCGUGAGUGAUGAAGGUCUUCGGAUCGUAAAACCCUUUUAUUAGGAAAGAAAAACUGUGUAAGUAACCCCCGCCGUCCUGACGGUACCCAAUGAGAAAGCAACGGCUAACUACGUG
rnacentral:rRNA from 1 species